UUCAUAUUUGACAGGCGAUUUCUGUAAUGGCUAAGUCUGGUUUUGCUGAGCUAAUUGAUUUUAAUCCCAUCCGUGCAAAUGAUGUGCAAUUACCAGCAGGUGGUACUUUUAUCAUUGCACAUUCGCUUGCAGAAUCCCAGAAAGCAGUAACUGCUGCAACAAACUACAAUAACCGUGUUGUUGAAUGCCGCCUGGCAGCUAUUGUUCUUGCUAUAAAGCUUGGAAAAAAUC